AGGGAUUGAACUCUGGUCCUUGUGCUUGCAAAGCAGGCAGUGGAACCACUGAGCUAAAUCCCCGGCCCCAUAGCAUGUCUUCACUCUUUGCAGCCUCAAAAUUGCAAAAGUGGACUUUGAGAAGAGAGCUCCAGAGCACCAUGUUCCAGAAUGGAGGAGGCCUGAAGAAGAUGUUCCAAUGAACAAGCUCAAUAUCUCCAAGCAGGUGUGCACUUUUAUUGAACUGGUCUCUAAAGUCAGUGUACAGGUAAGCCCUGGCUGCCUCCACACUUCAACCCACUCCCAGGGAGAACAAAAACAUUCAUACAGCAAGCUGGGGAACUCAAAGGGGGGCCACUAUGGCCGACCAUUCAAAAUAAAACAAAAUAAAAAAGUAUUAAGGCAAAGAUUUAAAAAUUUGCAUUACAUAAUUUACACAAAAGCAAUGCUGUCACCUCCCCUGCACGAACUUGGGAGGACUGGGCCCUCUCUGCAGAGUGGGGCAGCUUUUGGGAGGGUGAGGGACUUCCUGUAACAAUGCAUCUCACAAUAUUUGGAAUGAUUAAAAAACAAACAAAAAAAAAACAAUGUACAAUCAAAGUCCUCGGCCACACUGUAGAACUUUGGGGAUGCUCACUCCAACCGACGGUCACCGUCACCGUUCCAGUUUUUAAAUCCUGAGUCAAAAGCGCCAAAACAAAAAAGAAAAAGCAAAUAAAGCCAUGCCAAUCUCAUCUGGUUUUUUGCGCGCAUUAGGUUUUGUCAAGAAAGGGUGAAACGCAGCGAAGUAAUAGUACGCCUAAAAGCAUUUGCCGUGCGCGAUGGAGGUGCACGAUGGAGGGGCAAGACUCUUCGUACUCUUACUUGCUGAUCCACAGGUGCUGCAAGGUGGAGAGCGAGGCCAGGGUGGAGCCGCUGAUCCACACAGAGUACUUGCGCUCAGGGGGAGCGACGAUCUUGAUCUUCGUGGUGCUGGGUGCCAGGGCUGUGAUCUCCUUCUGCAUCCUGUCGGCGAUGCCUGGGUACGUGGUAGUGUGUUAGCAUAUAGGUCCUUGCAUUUCAUCACGGAUGCCACAGGAUUCCAUGCGCGGGAAAGAGGGCUGGAAGAGUGCCUCGGGCAGCUGUAACUCUUCUCCGGGAGGUGGAGGAUACGGCCUGGCCAUCUCCUGCUCGAAGUCCAGGGUGACAUAGCACAGCUUCUCCUUAAUGUUACGCACGAUUUCCCGCUCGGCCGUGGUGGGGAAGCUGUAGCCACGUUCCGUCAGAAUCUUCAUGAGUUAGUCUGUCAGGUCCCGGCCAGUCAGGUCCAGACGCAGGAUGGUGUGGGGGGUUGUAGCCCUCAUAGAUGGGCACCGUGUGGGUGACCUGUCACCGGAGUCCAUCAGGAUGCCAGUGGUGCGGCCAGAGGCGUACAGGGACAGCACAGCCUGGAUGGCCACGUACAUGGCUGGGGUGUUGAAAGUCCUGAACACGAACUGGGUCGUCUUGUCACGGUUAGCUUUGGGCUUCAGCGGAGCCUCCGUCAGCAGCACGGGGUGCUCCUCAGGGGCUGCGCGCAACUCGUUGUAGAAGGUGUGGUGCCAGAUCUUCUUAUGUCUUAUGACCUGAUUCUAUUAUUUUUUUAAAGAGAAGAGAGGAGAGUGGAGGGCUUGAGGAAAGCCAAUGCUUGAAAUGUAACCCACAGAGCAAAAUGGAAUUUUGCAAGUUAGAAUUUUUUCCUUUAGGAACAAGUCGCUUCUCCAGACUUCCUCAUGCCAUGAUGUGACCCACCCCCCUUUCUUCAGUUGCUGGCCCAAGGAGGUCAAAGUCCAGGCCCCUGGAUAAGGAAGAGAGGAGGCAAAGAUGGCCCUGAGGGAUGACACAAGCUUGUGGCGGUCUAUUGCCUCAUUGUAUUUGCCUCUCCUCUCUCUACUUUAAAUCUCUUUCUUACUAUAAAAGUCCCCUAGUACAAUAAAAUAAAAUAAAAUAAAAAAUGCCCUUAUGCACCUGGGCCCAGGGAAGUGAUGAUUUGUGGAAAUAUGAGUCCUCUCCACCUCUUCAGAACACGCUUUGAAUGAAACCUUUGCCUUUCACCACACCUCCUUUGGUUUGCUCGGGAGUGGUGAGCAGCGGGACCUGAGCGUACGGCGGACCAGAGUGGUUAGUAGCAGAAAGGGGGAGCAGCCUGUGAGGAUCUAUGGUUAGCUUGUGUGUUUGUUUUGAGACAGGAUCUGGCUAUGUAGCUCAGGCUGGCCUUCUCCUGAGUGCUGGGAUUACAAGUGAGCACCACCACACGCGGUGAGAACGCAGAAUUCUACACAGAUGCUAAAGUAGGUUUGCAGAAGCAAGAAAGAGCAGAAACAGAACAGUAGGGUCAAGAACUGGGUUUGGGAAUUUUCAGUUUGGAUACUUAUUACCUG
ensembl:lincRNA